CUCUCUGUAGCUCAGUUGGGUAGAGCGUUGCACUGGAAUCGCAGGGUCGUAGGUUCGAUUCCUGUCAGAGGGU
rnacentral:tRNA from 1 species